UACGUAGGGCGCAAGCGUUAUCCGGAAUUAUUGGGCGUAAAGAGCUCGUAGGCGGUUUGUCGCGUCUGCCGUGAAAGUCCGGGGCUCAACUCCGGAUCUGCGGUGGGUACGGGCAGACUAGAGUGAUGUAGGGGAGACUGGAAUUCCUGGUGUAGCGGUGAAAUGCGCAGAUAUCAGGAGGAACACCGGUGGCGAAGGCGGUCUCCUGG
rnacentral:rRNA from 1 species